ACUCCUACGGGAGGCAGCAGCUAAGAAUAUUCCGCAAUGGACGGAAGUCUGACGGAGCGACGCCGCGUGGAUGACGAAGGCCGAAAGGUUGUAAAGUUCUUUUGCUGGGGAAGAAUAACCGCAGGAGGGAAUGCCUGUGGGAUGACAAGAACCGGCGAAUAAGCCCCGGCCAACUACGUGCCAGCAGCCGCGGUAACACGUAGGGGGCGAGCGUUGUUCGGAAUUACUGGGCGUAAAGGGCAUGUAGGCGGCUUGGAAAGCCUGGCGUGAAAGUCUGCAGCUUAACUGCAGGGGUGCGCUGGGAACUGCUGAGCUUGAGUGACGGAGAGGGAGCUGGAAUUCCUGGUGUAGGGGUGAAAUCUGUAGAUAUCAGGAAGAACACCGAUGGCGAAGGCAAGCUCCUGGCCGAUGACUGACGCUGAGGUGCGAAAGUGUGGGGAUCAAACAGGAUUAGAUACCCUGGUAGUC
rnacentral:rRNA from 1 species